GGAUGACCAACAUAUGCGAAAAUCACCCAGAUCAGUUCAGAGGUUCAGGAAUUUCCUGGAAGUCAUAGUUUUUACCGACCGCAGGCAUGGUCCCAUAGCCAAAAAUAGUUCCAGGGCAUUUGCGGCUAAGUCCCCUGUGAGAAACUCCCCUUUUUUAGGGAGUUUGCCAUGAGCUUUUGGAGAGGCCUGCUUGCCAGCCUCUUGCCCUGUGACUAUGGCCC